AUUAGGAAUCUUGCGCAAUGGGCGAAAGCCUGACGCAGCGACGCCGCGUGGGGGAGGAAGGCCUUCGGGUUGUAAACCCCUUUUUCGAGGGAAGAAAAAAAUGACGGUACCUCGGGAAUAAGCCCCGGCUAACUCCGUGCCAGCAGCCGCGGUAAUACGGAGGGGGCGAGCGUUGUCCGAAGUUACUGGGCGUAAAGCGCGUGUAGGCGGGUUGUCAAGUCCGCUGUGAAAGCCCGAGGCUCAACCUCGGAGGGUCGGUGGAUACUGACAGUCUUGAAGGUGCUAGGGGGAGAUGGAAUUACCGGUGUAGCGGUGAAAUGCGUAGAGAUCGGUAGGAACACCAGUGGCGAAGGCGGUCUCCUGGGGCAUUCUUGACGCUGAGACGCGAAAGCUGGGGGAGCAAACGG
rnacentral:rRNA from 1 species